UAUCAUUCUGCAUUUUGACUUCACGUGAAUGUGGUCUGACAGCUCAGGGAGGGGCAGAAGAAUGUCAUAUAAAAAGCACAAUAAACGUAGAAUCUGAAUCUAAUAGCAAACGACAACAACACAGCUGUAUCUCAUGGACGAGUUUAAGCUUCGAAAUGUCAACCUGCAACAGGUCCAAAACCAGAUCCGCCACAGGACCGACGGUCUGAGCUCCAGCACUCUGGUGCUGCGGAGAGGACAGCCGUUCACAAUUCUCAUGAACUAUGAUGGACGGCCAUUCGAUCCACUGAAGGAAAAACUGGUCUUCCGAAUUGUUCUAGCAGGGCCGCUGUUUGUGGAGGUGCCUGUCUCCAUGUCUGGACAGCCUUCUCCAUCUCAAUGGAGUGCCAUUCUGGAGAGGAGCGUACCGGCCCCGAAUGCACCCCGUACGAUGUCGGUGUCACUGUUCAGCCCUGCGUCUUCCUCUGUAGGAGUCUAUACCUUCCACCUGAGAGUAGAGACCCGCUUGAGUGUGAAAACCCAUUUGCUCGGCCAGUUCACGCUCCUCUGCAACCCCUGGUGCCAAGCUGAUUCAGUGUUCCUGCCGUCAGAGGAUCUGAGGAAUGAAUACAUCAGGAAUGAUAUUGGCCUGCUGUUUAAAGGCAGCCCUGGUAGCGUCGUCUCCAGACCCUGGUCUUUUGAUCAGUAUGAAACAGGGAUAUUGGACAUCUGUAUGAAAUUGCUGCAGUUGAGUCCUCAAUAUCAAACCGACAUGAGAAAAGAUCUGGUCAACCGCAGCAAUCCGGUGUACAUCGGCCGUGUGAUCUCAGCUAUGGUGAACUGUCAGGAUGAUAAAGGGGUGUUAAUGGGGAACUGGUCAGGAGACUACAGCAAUGGUGUAAACCCCUCAAAUUGGUCCGGCAGCGCAGAUAUUCUCAGGAUGUGGUCAGAAACACAAUUCAGACCUGUGAAAUACGGGCAGUGCUGGGUGUUCGCUGCUGUCAUGUGUACAGUAAUGAGAGCCCUCGGCAUUCCAACUCGAGUGGUCACCAACUUUAACUCCGCUCACGACACAAACGGGAAUAUGGUGAUUGAGGAAUUUUACUCAGAGAUGGGGGAAAAGCUGUCCAUCGGCCGGGAUAGCAUCUGGAAUUUCCAUGUGUGGGUGGAGAGUUGGAUGAAGAGGCCUGAUCUGGGUCAAGGUUAUGACGGCUGGCAGGUUCUUGACCCCACACCACAAGAGCUGAGUGCGGGAAUGUACCGCUGUGGCCCUGCUGCUGUUAAAGCCAUUUAUGAGCAGAAGGUGGACGCACUAUACGAUGUACCGUUCGUUUACGCAGAAGUGAAUGCGGAUGUGUGUAGUAUAAUCAUGAGAGAUAGGACGAUAUUAGCUACUAACGUGGACAAAAAGAGAGUUGGAGCCCUGAUCUGCACCAAACGUCCCGGAUCCAUGCUUAUGCAGGACAUCACGUCAGAAUACAAAACUGAGAUGAUGGUUGGAACAACAGCUCGUAUGUUCAGCGCUGAUGUUCGAGGUGGUGAAGGUGCUAAUGGAAGAGGCGCACCUCAGGGCAUUGCAGUUUCUCUCCAGCUUUUGAAAGCACCUGUUGUCGGAGAAAACAUUUCUUUCAGCGUCACAAUCACUAACAAAGAGGCAAUUCCGAAACUGCUGCGAAAACACGUGAACGCUCAAAACAAAGAGUACAACCGCAAUCCCACUGGACCCUUCUGGGAGGCUCAUGAUGAUCUGACGAUCGGCCCGAAUAAAAGUAAGAAUUCUGCAACCUAUACUGAACAGCACAAAGUGCUUAAAAUUAGUUUAAAAUGUACUUAGAACCAGUUGUUUUCCACAGUUACUGUGCUGUAGUGGUGGGCAAUUUGGCAAAAAUAUCACAUCACGAUUGAAGUAGUCGCAAUAUUUUACUCAUUAUUUAUUGGACUGCCAAAAUAUUUACACAAAAUUAAAUUGAAAAUUGAAAAACCCAACUUUGCUAAUUUUUAAGUUGUUAACUGGACAGCACUCGCAUGCAUCAUGAUGGCAUCAUGUGACUAAAAUGUAACACUACUGUCUGACACAUUUUUUAAAGAGGACCUAAUACACUUUUUUAUAUUUUCAUCUUUCUUUAGUUUGUAAUGUUGCUGUUUGAGCAUGAAAAAGCUCUGCAAAUUUCCAAAGCACAAAGUUCCUCCAGCAGGAGUUAUUCUCUUUAUCAGUGUGCACUGUUUCUGAACUCCCUGAAACGCCUCCAUUGUAGUCUUGAGUCUUCUUCCGUGAACGAACACGUCACAGUAUUUCUCAUUUAAAUAAUUCCUGCCCAAUGCAUAUGCAAAAUAAAAGGGCGGAGCCUGGUUAAGAUAGUAGUGUGUUGAAAUUGGCGGUUAUGGUAAGGGGCGGGACAUUUCCCAAACACACUCGAAGCACUUAACCAAUCACAACACACUGGUCCAGCCGACCAAUCAGAGAACAGUGUGCUUUUCAGAAGGAGGGGCUUCAUACAGAGCGUUGCUGACAGACUGCUGUGACUGUGAACCAUGAGAUCUUCUUCAAGGAGUACAUGCUGAAGGAGGUUAUGGAGGAUUACCUGGUUAACCUGGCUGUGGUUAUAGAGGAUGUGAAGUCUCAAGAGAGAGUGCUGGCUUCAGAAGAGUUUA